rnacentral:lncRNA from 1 species
UCAACCAUUUUGAAAGUUUUAUUUUAAAUAUUUUAGAGUAUUUUAAAUAUUUGCAUCAUUUCAUAUAAAUAUUUAAAAGUCUUUAAAAUCUACUAUAAUUAUUUGUAGUUGUCUUAAAAAUUCCUAAAACCUUCCUAAAUUUGAUAUAAUUUUUUAAUUUUUUUCAAAAAUCUUCUACAAUCCUUUGUAACCAUUUCAAACUUAUUAUAAUCUUUUAGAAGUUUUGAUAGUCUUAAGAAUCAUAAAAUAUUUGAAUAUCAUGUAAAAAUAAUUUUACAGCUUCUAAUAUAUUAUUUUUUUAAAAUAAUCAAAAUAGAAUAAGAUAAUAAUUUCUUUAAAAAAUUCAAGCGUUUUAUUGCUCUUAUUUUUUU